GUUCCAGUCAACACGAUGCAUGUUAACCAGUUAUUUAUAGCUGAGCUGCACAGCAGGUAUCUGUCCAAGUCUAAGACGUGUUGAUUAGACUCGCUUUGAUCCAUAACAUCUGAUGUGAUGAAUGGACUCUGUGGAGCGUGAUGGCCGGCAGACAUGCAGAGAGGGAGUUAAAUCAGGAUAAAUGGAGUCGCAGAGAGAGAGAGAUUAUUAACCUCCCAGUCAGACACACAUCGAAGGAAACAGUUACAGUGGACAAACUAGCAGCCGGGUCCACAUGUGAUGGUGCAGUUCACCUCAUUGUGUAGCCACGCCCCC